rnacentral:lncRNA from 1 species
GAGGGUUCAGGGGACCUCAGAUGCUGUCCAGGUCUACGCGUGGCGUAGCGUCAGGAGGGUGAGGCCACAAGAAAAGACCGAGACAGAAAGGGCAUUCCCUUAUAAGUAGUCUGACCUGCUCAGGGAUGUAAUAUGCCGGCAGAACUUUAGCUGGAUUGGGCUAUUAGAAAGGUAGUUACGAAAGGGGAGGAGCCCCCUGAAGGUGAGAGGCGUGGUCUAAAUAAGGGCGGAACUUGGAACCCCCGCCCAAGGCAAAGCUUGGAUAAGAAGUGGAUGGUUAUCUAAGCACUGGGUACCUAAGAAGGGAUCGGAGGGGCCCCCUGGCUUGAGGAUGAGUUCCAGACGCAACGCGGCCUUUACACGUCUUCUGCAUCCCCAGGGCUGCGCGCGGAGCCUCCAGAAGUGGCUGCACAACAAUAUCAUCUCCAUAGUGGGAAUUUGUCUGGGAGUCGGUCUUCUUGAGCUCGGCUUCAUGACACUCUCGAUAUUCCUGUGUAGAAAUCUGGAUCACGUCUAUGACCGGCUGGCCCGGUACCGCUAGGCCCCAACCCACCGGUUGGCACCCACGCACCUCCAUGCAGUCAGGAACUGUUUCCUUCCUGGUUGGUUACAGGCUUGGAGCCCUGUGCCUCAGGCCUCAUUCUCUGGGGACCCAGAUGUCUGCCCUAAGACAGCCUUCACUUCCCCCACAGGGCCAGGGACUUUCGAGCCCAGCUUCCUUCCCUGCUCCCUCCUCCCCACACCAUCUGUCUGCCACCUCCCACAUGACACCUCAAAUAAAUCCCCUUCUUUUUUGGU